rnacentral:rRNA from 1 species
CGACCGCUGGCGGCAUGCCUAACACAUGCAAGUCGAACGAGACCUUCGGGUCUAGUGGCGCCCGGGUGCGUAACGCGUGGGAACCUGCCCUUAGGUUCGGAAUAACUCCCCGAAAGGGGUGCUAAUACCGGAUAAUGUCUUCGGACCAAAGAUUUAUCGCCUUUGGAUGGGCCCGCGUUGGAUUAGCUAGUUGGUAGGGUAAAAGCCUACCAAGGCGACGAUCCAUAGCUGGUCUGAGAGGAUGAUCAGCCACACUGGGACUGAGACACGGCCCAGACUCCUACGGGAGGCAGCAGUGGGGAAUAUUGGACAAUGGGCGAAAGCCUGAUCCAGCAAUGCCGCGUGAGUGAUGAAGGCCUUAGGGUUGUAAAGCUCUUUUACCCGGGAUGAUAAUGACAGUACCGGGAGAAUAAGCUCCGGCUAACUCCGUG